rnacentral:rRNA from 1 species
GAUGAACGCUGGCGGCGUGCCUAAUACAUGCAAGUCGAGCGAACAGAUAAGGAGCUUGCUCCUUUGACGUUAGCGGCGGACGGGUGAGUAACACGUGGGUAACCUACCUAUAAGACUGGAAUAACUCCGGGAAACCGGGGCUAAUGCCGGAUAACAUUUAGAACCGCAUGGUUCUAAAGUGAAAGAUGGUUUUGCUAUCACUUAUAGAUGGACCCGCGCCGUAUUAGCUAGUUGGUAAGGUAACGGCUUACCAAGGCAACGAUACGUAGCCGACCUGAGAGGGUGAUCGGCCACACUGGAACUGAGACACGGUCCAGACUCCUACGGGAGGCAACAGUAGGGAAUCUUCCGCAAUGGGCGAAAGCCUGACGGAGCAACGCCGCGUGAGUGAUGAAGGUCUUCGGAUCGUAAAACUCUGUUAUUAGGGAAGAACAAAUGUGUAAGUAACUGUGCACGUCUUGACGGUACCUAAUCAGAAAGCCACGGCUAACUACGUG